AAUUGGAUAGUUACAGAAGGUGACGAUGAGUUCAUUCAAUCCGGAGAUGAAUGGGCUAGGAGAAGUCACAGUAGAAGAGGUGAUCAAGCAGCUGUAGAUGAUUCUCGAGAAUGGCUAGAUAAAAGAGAUGAAAUUGCUCAAUUCAUGUGAACUCGCAUGCAAAAUGAUGCUACCAUGGUGAUUAUUGGGGGAAAAGUCUUUUGGCCUUUUUGGGUGUUUUGCUGGUGUCUUUUUAUGUUUAAGUGGGCUUUUGUAUCUUCCUAUUGCUUGAGGGGCUGAUCAGUCUUUGUCUUGUUCAUGGACUUAUAUAAUAACUUGAUGGAGCAAACAUCUUAUGUUUGUA